CAGAGGCAGAGAGACACCAUGGAUCCGCCAGAGACAGACGCUGGGAAUUUUACCAAAUUAAUUGCAUGUCUGUUAUCUUCUGCUACCUCUCCAGGGCCCAAAAGUAGAUCUGCUUAUAUAUAGACUGAAGAAUUCCAGCCGGCAUCCGGCAGCCACAGAGAAGGUAUCGGGAGAAGUCACAUCAUCUCCAGGUAGAAGUUACUGUUGCCCCAGCCUUUCUGAGGAAGAGAGCAUGACAUUCUCUCUUUAUAGAGACCAUCUGCCUCUCUAGCCUUAACUUUGUCUUUGCUUGCAAUUGUCAACAUAGGCUUACCAUCAUGGCAAGUGUUUCUGCAUCAUCAGAUUGAGACCAGACCCCAACUUGCGGAUGGGGAUUCAGGAAUUCAAAGGCAGAGGG